rnacentral:rRNA from 1 species
AUUGAACGCUGACGGCAUGCCUUACACAUGCAAGUCGAACGGCAGCAUGAUCUAGCUUGCUAGAUUGAUGGCGAGUGGCGAACGGGUGAGUAAUACAUCGGAACGUGCCCUGUAGUGGGGGAUAACUAGUCGAAAGAUUAGCUAAUACCGCAUACGACCUGAGGGUGAAAGUGGGGGACCGCAAGGCCGCAUGCUAUAGGAGCGGCCGAUGUCUGAUUAGCUAGUUGGUGAGGUAAAGGCUCACCAAGGCGACGAUCAGUAGCUGGUCUGAGAGGACGAUCAGCCACACUGGGACUGAGACACGGCCCAGACUCCUACGGGAGGCAGCAGUGGGGAAUUUUGGACAAUGGGCGAAAGCCUGAUCCAGCAAUGCCGCGUGUGUGAAGAAGGCCUUCGGGUUGUAAAGCACUUUUGUCCGGAAAGAAAUGGCUCUGGUUAAUACCUGGGGUCGAUGACGGUACCGGAAGAAUAAGGACCGGCUAACUACGUG